rnacentral:rRNA from 1 species
UACGUAGGGUGCGAGCGUUAAUCGGAAUGACUGGGCGUAAAGGGUGCGCAGGCGGUUUGCCAAGACGGAUGUGAAAGCCCCAGGCUCAACCUGGGAAGUGCAUACGUGACUGGCAGACUCGAGGAGGGCAGAGGGAGGUGGAAUUCCAUGUGUAGCAGUGAAAUGCGUAGAGAUGUGGAGGAACACCGAUGGCGAAGGCAGCCUCCUGGGUCCAUCCUGACGCUGAGGCACGAAAGCGUGGGGAGCAAACAGG